rnacentral:lncRNA from 1 species
CCUAACUUAACUGAACGGCUAUUUACAACUGGAAAUACAACGGUAUUUUACAAUCCUGGUUUUAUAUACUUGAAAAUGUAAACAUUUAAAUGGGUAUUUGGUAUGUUAAAAAAUUAUAAACAUGUAAGUAAAUAUAAACAAAGAAGGAUGGAAUAAGUAAUAACAUCUAGUUAAUGGAGCUUCAAAAGAAAAAUAAAAACACAUCAAAAAUAUCAAGGAAUUGCACAUAAGCCAGGAGGAAAGUGACUGGAGUUAAAAACAUUCUAACAUCCUUAGAUUGCUCAGUAGGAGGGUAAAGUGGUAGCUAACUUUAGACUUCGUUACACAGACACGUUAAAAUUCCAAGUAUAAUCACUUAAAAAAAAAGAGAGAGAGAGAUUCUAUC